UGUCUUGUAGUAUAUAGCCAGUAUUACUGUAAACUGCAACUUUACCAAAGCAACAGCCAAGACAU
rnacentral:tRNA from 1 species